rnacentral:rRNA from 1 species
CCUACGGGUGGCAGCAGUGAGGAAUAUUGGUCAAUGGACGAGAGUCUGAACCAGCCAAGUAGCGUGAAGGAUGACUGCCCUAUGGGUUGUAAACUUCUUUUAUAUGGGAAUAAAAUGUUCCACGUGUGGGAUUUUGUAUGUACCAUAUGAAUAAGGAUCGGCUAACUCCGUGCCAGCAGCCGCGGUAAUACGGAGGAUCCGAGCGUUAUCCGGAUUUAUUGGGUUUAAAGGGAGCGUAGGUGGAUUGUUAAGUCAGUUGUGAAAGUUUGCGGCUCAACCGUAACAUUGCAGUUGAUACUGGCAGUCUUGAGUACAGUAGAGGUGGGCGGAAUUCGUGGUGUAGCGGUGAAAUGCUUAGAUAUCACGAAGAACUCCGAUUGCGAAGGCAGUUCACUGGACUGCAACUGACACUGAGGCUCGAAAGUGUGGGUAUCAAACAGGAUUAGAUACCCUUGUAGUC